rnacentral:lncRNA from 1 species
GAGAGAAAGACAAACGGGAACGGUUGAAACCGCGGACGAGAGUCGUUUUUCAGGUUUUUUUUUCGAAAAGCGAAGCGAGACGGCUGGUGCAUGCGUAGGCUGCUUGUGUAAAUGAUGUCAAAAGGGCUUCCUCCGGCGGUUGCGACAACAGCUGUGAGGAGGUUUCUCCCGAGAGUUCUCAGGAUUUCGUCGUUUUUCAUUUUUACCCUUCUGAAUUCUUGCCUUCACAGUCCUCAAAAGACGCACUUCUCACUCAGCUGUGGACCUUCCCGCAGACACCAUGGUGCCUUCUGAGGGCGCCGCCCCCUCUGGAGGGGGAGGCGCCUCGACAGUUUCUCCCGGUACUUCUUCCCCAUUACCGUCUUCGUCUUCGACGUGGGUCGUCGCAGCGGUGGUUCUGCUGCUGUCGCUGCCUCUGGGGACGGUGCUCGAUGGGCUGUUUCUGUCGGGGAAUCACGGACCGAUGCAGAGCGCUCCCUCGACUUUGGUUGACCGGUUCUUCACGCCACACAACCCUCUGCCCACUGGCAUCAGUCCACACCAAGUGACGGUCCAACUCUGCACGUCCUGAUCUUCGGCGGGAGCGUUGAGGCAGCUCGCGGAGUUCCUCAGCUUCCAGCUAAGUCACCUGCCUGGCUUCCGUUUCGUUGCCGUCGAGUACAAGCCAUCGCUGUUUCACCAGGCUCUGGGACGGCUGCUGGACGCCCUGAGUUGGGCGGCACUCGCCCUCGUUGUCUUUGUGCGGCCGAUAUGUUCUACUCUCGGUUUGACUCAGCAGAGAGGCGAAGAAAGAGGUGCACAGACAGAGCAGCUCCCGCCGUGGGCUGAGGCGCUGGAGAACAACCGCGUGGCGGCGAUCGUGACGGCCUUCUUUGGCGCGCAGGUCGUCCGGUCUGUCUUGAUUCCGAACAACGCGUUCGAAAUUUUCAUCGGAGAAAACUUGCUCUGGUCCACUCUCGACAGUGGCCGCAUGCCCAACGGCCGAGACUUGAUGCAACGCCUCGAAACCAUCGGCGUCAGUGUCAGGGAACCGAUGUAAAGCGUGGUACCAGAGGAGGGAAAUAGUUGGUUAAAUAUGGACAUAGAGGACGGAGGAAGCUGCGGAUUUUUGAGGCGGGGAGCGGUGUCAGUUUGGACGGUGGAGUUGUGUGGAGAGAGAAGGCGGCAGGAAGUACGCAGGCACAGAAACUGCCGGAGAAGGCGGAAGAGCGAGUCGGGAGUGGAUUUCGUGGAGCGUCACGGUUGUGUAGCUGAGGUCGGACGGUUUCAUGCGGGUCGCGGGACGAGGUAUGUACGAAAAAUGUGGAAGUGGUAGUCCGGCGAUUCCAAUGCCAGCGGCUUGAGACUUUCUGUAGAUCCACCGGAAGACGGGUAUGGUUUAUCACCUCGGAUAACGCUGCGAGGGAGGAUGCUGGCAGAAACCUCUCCAUUCGAGGCAGCUGGCAUCUGAUAGUUGGCUUUUCUGUGUUGAAGAUCGUAUCCGCCUCUUGUGCUCAACUGACAGAAUGGCGCACACUUUUGUACCGUGGCAAGUUGUGUCUUUUGGUGAGAAAAGGCAAAGAAAGAACAACCAAGACUUGAAAAGGGACAGUUGGUCGUCGUAACUGUCAAGCCUACGGUGCGUUUCAGGUUACGAAUCCCGAUGCUGUGACUCGCGCCUAUGCGAGCAACAGAAGUUUUUGCUGCAUAUCCAACUCCUGUGGUGUAUGUACGCUCGCCGCCGAGUUGGUUAAGUGCACGUUUCCCUCACGGAACCGACAUAUAAAGAGCGUGUAAUGACCUGAAGAAGUGGAAGAACACGUACUAAGUUGUGGACGAACAGCGAGUUACGUGGCAGUCUUAGAAAUAGUAUAUUUGAUAUUAGCCAGUCGAAGUCGGCAACCCUAGCUUGCAGGGAUCACAUGGUGUUUUCACAUCAGGCUGAGAAUACGGGAGGGUGUCUGCAAAUUUGUUUCCCUGCAGGACUCAGCUUCGUGUCGUAGAACCGUCUGGCUAAAAUGCGGAAGAAAACAAUUAUUGCAAUUAUUUGCAAAGGGAAUGGCAAAUUUGACGGUUCUGUGUACCCGUGAGGCAUGAUGCUGCCGCCAGUUGUCUCUUUUGUCGACGACGGGCCUCCGUGGUGCAUUUUGUGAAGUUUCGCCGCAUGCCAGUAUCUCCUUAUGCUCCUGGAUACUAUUUAAUAUAAGUAGUAUUUCUAAAGUGGGAUCCCUCGUAACAGCGUUUGACAUUACCUUACGGAUAACGAGGACAACCGUUUUCAAAGACUCAGAGGCAGUCAACUGUCGUCAUCCUGACUUUUUCCCGUUUGGUGACAUUGGGGAGCGACCUGUCGCUCGAUCGUUUCCUUCCUCAUACAUGAUCCUUUACAGGACUGUUUUAAAUGUUUCACGGAAGUGCUCGAAUGGAAUAUCGGCAGCUCUUUGCAACGUGGAUAAUCUUGAGAUAAGAAAUUUCCGGUGGGAUAUACAUGUAUGUAAGCAAUUCAUACAUGCUACAUGAACGAAACAGGAAAGUAAACCCGUUAGUUGGAC